UACGGGGGGAGCAAGCGUUGUUCGGAUUUACUGGGCGUAAAGGGCGCGUAGGCGGUCAGCACAAGUCAGUUGUGAAAUCUCCGGGCUUAACUCGGAAAGGUCAACUGAUACUGUGCGACUAGAGUGCAGAAGGGGCAACUGGAAUUCUCGGUGUAGCGGUGAAAUGCGUAGAUAUCGAGAGGAACACCUGCGGCGAAGGCGGGUUGCUGGGCUGACACUGACGCUGAGGCACGAAGGCCAGGGGAGCAAACGGG
rnacentral:rRNA from 1 species